UGUCAAUCAGGCUAGAGUGACUCACACCCACGGUACUGUAUAAAUUUAUCCAGCGUAGCUGAAAAAGCUUAUUAGGGGUUGGCUGUUCAUUUUCUCUGAAUGAACCAUUUCUACCUACAUACACUGCGGGUCCCCUUACAUUGACGUCGCCAUUAGCAGCGCCAUGUUUCUACAGUAACCCAGAUGGACAAAUGGCGCUACAGAGGAAGAAGAAAAAGGAGAAGAACAACAGGAAAAGGCGAAUAGAGGGAAGACCAAGGGAGUUGUCAGACCAUCUCACCCCCUCUGUGAAUCUACAUCUGUUGCAGUCUGAAAGACAGCUGUUCCUAUGGGGAGAGGCAGCAGGCAGAUAGAGCCCCUCCGGUCACCCUCCACGCCUCCCUACACACUUUCUUCAUCCAUCCAUCAACCAUCAUCCUCACUGGUAUCGUUCCUUUAGCUUCCGCCUGUUCCCUUGUACUGACUCUCACAGCCUUUGUUUCCCACUACAUUACUUCCCAUUUACAAUGUAAAUACUGCAAGAUACUACUCAAGAAAGGAUGGCAGUGUCUAUAAGCAGCAGAUGUGCGCUCUUUAUGGAAACUGAGGAAAGGCUUUUUAUAUUUGGUAAGCCUGCAGCAUCAUUUCAGACCGAGUGCACAAUAUAGUUUGCCAUUACCCUGAUAAACCCAAAUGAAGCAUACUCCCUACUAAAUCUCUUCAGUAGGAGAGGAAGAGGUAAAAGAAAGGGAUUACUAAACAGAGAGUCCUGAAGCCUUGCACAAUUAAGAUGUGGAGAUUGUUAAAGUGAAAUGCAGUUUAAUAUUAUAUCAGCAAGUUCAUCCUCAUGUUAUGCACAUUCAGCAGCACCCUUUUUAUUAAUGAAACCAAUUGUGCAUAACUCUUCAGAUUUUGGCAUAAUAGUAAAGAUUUUA